rnacentral:lncRNA from 1 species
CUCUUUCACAGGGGACUGGAUGGGGCCGUAACACAUCGAACAGCUGUACCUCCUCUGAAAAGCCAUUUCAGGUGAACCAAAGCAUUCUGCCCCUACGAGGAAGAAAGGGAGGCAGUGAGGAGAGAAUCAGGCCCAAAGAGCUGGGCCCAAGUGACAUUUAUAAAUAGGAACAUGGAAACUCACGGAAGAAGCCAAGCAAGGUAAAGGAGAGUGGGCAAGUCUCAGUGAGACCAUUUAAGACAUAAACAGCUAAGGAGAGUCUUUGAGGGCCAUUAUGUAACUGUUUUCCCGAACCCAGAUCAUAGGAGCAAUUUGUAGCUGGAAAGAGAAGCAUCGGAAGCUUUGGUGCUUACCUUUGUUCAUUCAUUUAUUCAGGCACUAUUCACAGCCUCGUGUGCCCCAGACUCUGCUAGCAUAGGAGAAAGGACCAUAACAAAGGCAUUGUCUCUGUUUCCAAGAUUCCAGAAAUGUAACCAGGGAGGAAGGCAUAUAAAUAGCUUGCAGAAGCAACUGUAAUUAUCACAGUGCCAUGGCAUCCACUGUUGUGUUAAAUCGGGUUUCUCUUGGUGGAUGUUCAUUGUGGUGUCUGCCUGGAACUUGUCCGCUUCUCGGUGGAAAUGCAGCCACCUUCUUUUAGGAGUAUUGUUCCUCAUCCCGUCCCCCUCUGAGUAAGCGCUGUCUGUCUGCACUCCUCUGACCCUAGUGAUAGUUAGGAGAAUGGCUAAUGACCACAGUCAGGGCAAUCAGAGUUCUUUCCUGGGAUUCCUGUAAAUGGACCUUGGGAAAGAAGAGCUUUUAUUUUUUUCUGUUUUUCUUGGAAAGUGAAGCUAUAAGGGAAGGCCAAGUGCUGUAGAGACCAGUCUCCUGCCUCAGAAAGAUCAGCAGUUGAGGCUGGGUGCGGUGGCUCAUGCCUGUAAUCCUA